rnacentral:rRNA from 1 species
GAUGAACGCUGGCGGCGUGCCUAAUACAUGCAAGUCGAACGAGGUGCUUUUGUAGCAAUACGAGAGUAUCCUAGUGGCGAACGGGUGAGUAACGCGUUGGUGACCUACCCCAAAGUGUGGGAUAACAGUCCGAAAGGAUUGCUAAUACCGCAUGUGGUCCUCGGAACUAGAAACCGAUGACUAAAGGAGCAAUUCGCUUUGGGAGGGACCUGCGUCCCAUCAGCUAGUUGGUGAGGUAACGGCUCACCAAGGCGACGACGGGUAGGGGACCUGAGAGGGUGACCCCCCACAAUGGAACUGAAACACGGUCCAUACACCUACGGGUGGCAGCAGUAGGGAAUAUUGCACAAUGGGCGAAAGCCUGAUGCAGCAACGCCGCGUGCACGAUGAAGGCCUUCGGGUCGUAAAGUGCUUUUCUGGGAGAUGAGAAAGGACAGUAUCCCAGGAAUAAGUCUCGGCUAACUACGUGC